GAUGAACGCUGGCGGCGUGCCUAACACAUGCAAGUCGAGCGUGAACCGUCUGAAUGAAACUUCGGUCGAGUGAGGAUGGGGAAAGCGGCGGACGGGUGAGUAACGCGUAGGCAACCUGCCCCGUACAGAGGGAUAGCCUCGGGAAACCGGGAUUAAGACCUCAUAAUACCAUUAUCUCACAUGUGAUAAUGGUCAAAGAUUUUAUCGGUAUGGGAUGGGCCUGCGUCUGAUUAGCUGGUUGGUGGGGUAACGGCUCACCAAGGCGACGAUCAGUAGCCGACCUGAGAGGGUAAUCGGCCACAUUGGAACUGAGACACGGUCCAAACUCCUACGGGAGGCAGCAGUGAGGAAUAUUGGUCAAUGGACGAAAGUCUGAACCAGCGACGCCGCGUGUGGGAUGAAGGGGCUUUGCCCUGUAAACCACUGUCGGAAGGGAAAAAAGAAGUAUGAACUUCUGGGAUUGUACCUUCAAAGGAAGGAUCGGCUAACUACGUGCCAGCAGCCGCGGUAA
rnacentral:rRNA from 1 species